rnacentral:rRNA from 1 species
GGGGGGGGCAAGCGUUGUUCGGAAUUACUGGGCGUAAAGGGCGCGUAGGCGGUGCUCUAAGUUAGAUGUGAAAACUCUGGGCUCAACCCAGAGCCUGCAUCUAAAACUGGAGUGCUAGAGUUCUGGAGGGGGUAGCGGAAUUCCUGGUGUAGCGGUGAAAUGCGUAGAUAUCAGGAGGAACACCGGUGGCGAAGGCGGCUACCUGGACAGAAACUGACGCUGAGGCGCGAAAGCUAGGGGAGCAAACAGGAUUAGAUACCCUGGUAGUCCUAGCCCUAAACGAUGGAUACUUGGUGUGACUGGGAUUGAAUCCAGUCGUGCCGAAGCUAACGCAUUAAGUAUCCCGCCUGGGGAGUACGGUCGCAAGGCUG